rnacentral:rRNA from 1 species
GUCUACGGUCAUGCCACUCUGAACAAGCCCGAUCCCAUCUGAUCUUGGAAGCUAAGCAGGGUCGGGCCUAGUUAGUACUUGGAUGGGAGACCACCUAGGAAGACCAGGUAGUGUCUUCA